UGAGGAAUAUUGGUCAAUGGGCGAUGGCCUGAACCAGCCAAGUAGCGUGAAGGAUGACUGCCCCAUGGGUUGUAAACUUCUUUUAUAAAGGAAUAAAGUCGGGUAUGCAUACCCGUUUGCAUGUACUUUAUGAAUAAGGAUCGGCUAACUCCGUGCCAGCAGCCGCGGUAAUACGGAGGAUCCGAGCGUUAUCCGGAUUUAUUGGGUUUAAAGGGAGCGUAGAUGGAUGUUUAAGUCAGUUGUGAAAGUUUGCGGCUCAACCGUAAAAUUGCAGUUGAUACUGGAUGUCUUGAGUGCAGUUGAGGCAGGCGGAAUUCGUGGUGUAGCGGUGAAAUGCUUAGAUAUCACGAAGAACUCCGAUUGCGAAGGCAGCCUGCUAAGCUGCAACUGACAUUGAGGCACGAAAGUGUGGGUAUCAAACAGG
rnacentral:rRNA from 1 species